rnacentral:rRNA from 1 species
GACGAACGCUGGCGGCGUGCCUAAUACAUGCAAGUCGUACGCAUUGAUAAUGGAACUUGUUCCAUUUGACGUGAGUGGCGCACGGGUGAGUAACACGUGGGAAACCUACCCUUCAGCGGGGGAUAACCGUCGGAAACGAUGGCUAAUACCGCAUAGGUCUUUGAGUCACCUGACUUAAAGAGGAAAGACGGCUUCGGCUGUCACUGAAGGAUGGUCCCGCGGUGCAUUAGCUAGUUGGUAAGGUAAUGGCUUACCAAGGCAAUGAUGCAUAGCCGACCUGAGAGGGUGAUCGGCCACAUUGGGACUGAGACACGGCCCAA